rnacentral:lncRNA from 1 species
UAUAAAACUAAACUACAUGUCAAACACUGUAUUUAGAAUAGAUUUGAGAGAAUGAUUUUGAGACUAUUCAAAUGAUCAAGCUUGCUUAACUAAAGAUUUUAAUUGACAUGUAUUAUCAAACACACAGAGGAAAUUUUAAAUCUGCAGUAGCAGAAAAAAAAUUGUGUACCCUCCAUUUCCCAGAAAUUCCUUGGGAGGGACCGGUUUCAUAAAUAAACAUGCUGCUUAGAGUUUUUUAUGGUUCAAAGUUAAAAUUAAAGUCCAUAUUGCUAGUGAUAGAUUGAGUCUUAUUUUUCUCCCUUCUCUUCAAUCCCUCUCACUUUUUCCCUUUGCCCUUUCUAGGUAAUUCUUGACAUGGAGAUUUUGAAGAACUUACAGUUGGGUCUUUGCAAAGUGGCACUUACUAGUCAGGGUGUCAGUAAAGGCAAGUUACCCUUCCUGGAAGAACUUUGAAUGAGAUGCAAAGAGACCCUGGGAACUUGACCAGUCAAUCUUAGAAGCAUGAAGAGAAUGCAGUGGGAGGAAGUGGUGGCCGUGAGUCAGCAUGAGUCAUUCUGUUCCAAUGAGAAUGAAGGCUGACUGAGAGGUGUGUAUUUCUUUUUUUUUUUUUUUUGGUUUGGGUUUUUUUUUUCUGUCGUCUUAAUCUUUGGAACAUCAUUGGUGAAUGGAGGAAAAAAUAAGUGAUUUUUGCCUAUAUCUUUAGUGCUUUUCAGGUUUUAAAUUCUCACUUCAAUGAAACUUUGCAUGAGUGCAUAAAUGCAACUUUUAUCCCCUUAGGCACCCUGUUCACAAGGAGGUGGAGCAACAGACUUCUCCCUGAUCUUACUGCAUAGAUCUGGAAGCAGAGAAAGAAGACAUCUUGUUUCCUAUCAGUUGCCCUCUGGAACACCCAGAAAGGAGGAAAUGUUUCUAAAACUUGUCAGAAGUAAGUCUUCCUACACAGUAAGAGGAAUACUGGGAAGCUGUUUUAGGAUUCAUCAUACUCCAAAUCUGGAGAAUUGCUGUACCACUACCUCAAUAUGGAGGUAGGUUUGUAGGCUGAGAGCAUCCCGCUCCUAUUUCCAACUGGCCAUAAAGAAUAUCCUCAGAAGGCAGCUAGCUGUAUGACUCAAUAUAUUAAGAGGAAGGUUUAGAGAUAGGAUGUCCUGGGUUCAAAGCUGACCUCAGACACUUCCUAGUUGGGUGACCAUGGGC